rnacentral:rRNA from 1 species
UAAGAACGGGAAAUCCUUGCUGGAGAGGUGGGAGUGCCCGAAAGGGAGCCGUAACACAGGUGCUGCAUGGCUGUCGUCAGCUCGUGUCGUGAGAUGUUGGGUUAAGUCCCGCAACGAGCGCAACCCUUGUCCCUAGUUGCUACGCAAGAGCACUCUAGGGAGACUGCCGGUGACAAACCGGAGGAAGGUGGGGAUGACGUCAAGUCCUCAUGGCCCUUAUGGGUAGGGCUUCACACGUCAUACAAUGGUCGGAACAGAGGGUUGCCAAGCCGCGAGGUGGAGCCAAUCCCAGAAAACCGAUCGUAGUCCGGAUCGCAGUCUGCAACUCGACUGCGUGAAGCUGGAAUCGCUAGUAAUCGCGGAUC